UUGGUCAUUUAGAGGAAGUAAAAGUCGUAACAAGGUUUCCGUAGGUGAACCUGCGGAAGGAUCAUUCAUAAUAAGUGUUUUAUGGCACUUUUUAAAUCCAUAUCCACCUUGUGUGCAAUGUCAGUCGAUCUUCUUCAUGGAGAUCGACCAAACAUCAACCUUAUCUUUUAACUCUUUGUCUGAAAAAUAUUAUGAAUAAACAAUUCAAAAUACAACUUUCAACAACGGAUCUCUUGGCUCUCGCAUCGAUGAAGAACGCAG
rnacentral:rRNA from 1 species